UACAGAGGGUGCGAACGUUGCUCGGAAUUAUUGGGCGUAAAGCGCGUGUAGGCGGUCUUUUAGGCCGAUCGUGAAAUCCCAUGGCUCAACCAUGGAAGGGCGGUCGGAACCGGAAGACUUGAGUCCCGACGAGGAUGGCGGAAUUCCCAGUGUAGAGGUGAAAUUCGUAGAUAUUGGGAGGAACAUCGGUGGCGAAGGCGGCCAUCUGGGAGGCGACUGACGCUGAGACGCGAAAGCGUGGGGAGCAAACAGG
rnacentral:rRNA from 1 species